UCAGCCGCCGCGGUAAAACCAGCACCUCGAGUGGUCAGGAGGUUUAUUGGGCCUAAAGCAUCCGUAGCCGGUUGCAUAAGUUUUCGGUUAAAUCUAUGCGCUCAACGUAUAGGCCGCCGAAAAUACUGUGCAGCUAGGGAGUGGGAGAGGUACACGGUACUCGAUGGGAAGGGGUAAAAUCCUUUGAUCUAUUGAUGACCACCUGUGGCGAAGGCGGUGUACCAGAACACGUCCGACGGUGAGGGAUGAAAGCUGGGGGAGCAAACCGGAUUAGAUACCCGGGUAGUCCCAGCUGUAAACGAUGCAGACUCGGUGAUGCAUUGGCUUGUGGCCAAUGCAGUGCCGCAGGGAAGCCGUUAAGUCUGCCGCCUGGGAAGUACGUACGCAAGUAUGAAACUUAAAGGAAUUGGCGGGGGAGCACA
rnacentral:rRNA from 1 species